AGAUUGAACGCUGGCGGCAUGCUUUACACAUGCAAGUCGAACGGUAACGCGGGGGCAACCCUGGCGACGAGUGGCGAACGGGUGAGUAAUACAUCGGAACAUGUCCUGGAGUGGGGGAUAGCUCGGCGAAAGCCGGAUUAAUACCGCAUACGCUCUGAGGAGGAAAGCGGGGGACUCGUAAGGGCCUCGCGCUGCGGGAGUGGCCGAUGUCGGAUUAGCUAGUUGGUGAGGUAAAGGCUCACCAAGGCGACGAUCCGUAGCUGGUCUGAGAGGAUGAUCAGCCACACUGGGACUGAGACACCGGCCCAGACUCCUACGGGAGGCAGCAGGUGGGGUAAUUUUGGACAAGUGGGGCAACCCUGAUCCAGCCAUGCCGCGUGAGUGAAGAAGGCCUUGGUUGUAAGCGUCGUUCGGACGGAGAAGUGGUUACGGUGAACUACUGUGACUGAGU
rnacentral:rRNA from 1 species